rnacentral:rRNA from 1 species
UACGGAGGGUGCGAGCGUUGUCCGGAAUCACUGGGCGUAAAGGGCGCGUAGGUGGCCUGUGGAAGUCUGCGGUGAAAGCCCGGCGCUCAACGCCGGGUCGGCCGUGGAUACUCUCGGGCUCGAGCUUACUAGAGGCAGAUGGAAUUCCGGGUGUAGCGGUGGAAUGCGUAGAGAUCCGGAAGAACACCGGUGGCGAAGGCGGUCUGCUGGGGUAAUGCUGACACUGAGGAGCGAAAGCAUGGGGAGCGAACAGG